UACGGAGGGAGCUAGCGUUGUUCGGAAUUACUGGGCGUAAAGCGCACGUAGGCGGCUUUCUAAGUCAGGGGUGAAAUCCUGGAGCUCAACUCCAGAACUGCCUUUGAUACUGGGAAGCUCGAGUCCGGAAGAGGUGAGUGGAACUCCGAGUGUAGAGGUGAAAUUCGUAGAUAUUCGGAAGAACACCAGUGGCGAAGGCGGCUCACUAGUCCGGUACUGACGCUGAGGUGCGAAAGCGUGGGGAGCAAACAGG
rnacentral:rRNA from 1 species